rnacentral:rRNA from 1 species
ACGGAAGGCAGCAGUGGGGAAUAUUGCACAAUGGGCGAAAGCCUGAUGCAGCGACGCCGCGUGAGGGAUGACGGCCUUCGGGUUGUAAACCUCUUUCAGCAGGGAAGAAGCGAAAGUGACGGUACCUGCAGAAGAAGCGCCGGCUAACUACGUGCCAGCAGCCGCGGUAAUACGUAGGGCGCAAGCGUUAUCCGGAAUUAUUGGGCGUAAAGAGCUCGUAGGCGGUUUGUCGCGUCUGCUGUGAAAGCCCGGGGCUCAACCCCGGGUCUGCAGUGGGUACGGGCAGACUAGAGUGAUGUAGGGGAGACUGGAAUUCCUGGUGUAGCGGUGAAAUGCGCAGAUAUCAGGAGGAACACCGAUGGCGAAGGCAGGUCUCUGGGCAUUAACUGACGCUGAGGAGCGAAAGCAUGGGGAGCGAACAGGAUUAGAUACCCUGGUA